rnacentral:rRNA from 1 species
CCCUUAGAUGUUCUGGGCCGCACGCGUGCUACACUGAGUGGAUCAGCGGGUCAGGUUGCGCGAAAGCGUUUCCUAAUCUUUAAAUCCGCUCGUGAUGGGGAUUGACGGUUGCAAUUUUCUGUCAUGAACGAGGAAUACCUUGUAAGCGCGGGUCAUCAUCCCGCGCUGAAUACGUCCCUGCCCUUUGUCCACACCGCCCGUCGCUCCUACCGAUUGAGUGGUCCGGUGAGGCUUUGGGAUCUGAGCGGAAAGAGCGUUUCGCUGUUUCUGCUCGGAAAACUCAGUCGAACCUUAUCAUUUAGAGGAAGGAGAAGUCGUAACA